GCCUGAUCCAGCAAUGCCGCGUGUGUGAAGAAGGCCUUCGGGUUGUAAAGCACUUUUGUCCGGAAAGAAAUCCUUGGCUCUAAUACAGUCGGGGGAUGACGGUACCGGAAGAAUAAGCACCGGCUAACUACGUGCCAGCAGCCGCGGUAAUACGUAGGGUGCGAGCGUUAAUCGGAAUUACUGGGCGUAAAGCGUGCGCAGGCGGUUUGCUAAGACCGAUGUGAAAUCCCCGGGCUCAACCUGGGAACUGCAUUGGUGACUGGCAGGCUAGAGUAUGGCAGAGGGGGGUAGAAUUCCACGUGUAGCAGUGAAAUGCGUAGAGAUGUGGAGGAAUACCGAUGGCGAAGGCAGCCCCCUGGGCCAAUACUGACGCUCAUGCACGAAAGCGUGGGGAGCAAACAGGAUUAGAUACCCUGGUAGUCCACGCCCUAAACGAUGUCAACUAGUUGUUGGGGAUUCAUUUCCUUAGUAACGUAGCUAACGCGUGAAGUUGACCGCCUGGGGAGUACGGUCGCAAGAUUAAAACUCAAAGGAAUUGACGGGGACCCGCACAAGCGGUGGAUGAUGUGGAUUAAUUCGAUGCAACGCGAAAAACCUUACCUACCCUUGACAUGGUCGGAAUCCUGCUGAGAG
rnacentral:rRNA from 3 species